GAUGAAGAACGUAGCUAAAUGCGAUAAGUAAUGUGAAUUGCAGAAUUCAGUGAAUCAUCGAAUCUUUGAACGCACCUUGCGCCCUUUGGCCAUUCCGAAGGGCAUGCCUGUUUGAGUAUCAUGAACACCUCAACUCUUCAUGGUUUUCCGUGAUGAGCUUGGACUUUGGGGGUCUUGCUGGCCUAUGGUCAGCUCCUCUAAAAUAAAUCAGCUUGCCAGUGUUUGGUGGGUAUCACAGGUGUGAUAACUAUCUACGAUUGUGGUUUUCCACCAGGUAACCUUCAGCAGUGGAGGUUCGCUGGAGCUCACAGAUGUGUCUCUCCUCAGUGAGGACAGCUCUUUGAAUGUUUGAUCUCAAAUCAGGUAGGACUACCCGCUGAACUUAAGCAUAUCAAUAAGCGGAGGA
rnacentral:misc_RNA from 1 species